rnacentral:rRNA from 1 species
ACCCCUGGCCGCCGGGCUAACCAUGCAGUCGAGCGGUAACAGGGGUAGCUUGCUACCCGCUGACGAGCGGCGGACGGGUGAGUAAUGCAUAGGAAUCUGCCCGAUAGUGGGGGAUAACCUGGGGAAACCCAGGCUAAUACCGCAUACGUCCUACGGGAGAAAGGGGGCUCCGGCUCCCGCUAUUGGAUGAGCCUAUGUCGGAUUAGCUAGUUGGUAAGGUAAUGGCUUACCAAGGCAACGAUCCGUAGCUGGUCUGAGAGGAUGAUCAGCCACAUCGGGACUGAGACACGGCCCGAACUCCUACGGGAGGCAGCAGUGGGGAAUAUUGGACAAUGGGGGCAACCCUGAUCCAGCCAUGCCGCGUGUGUGAAGAAGGCCCUCGGGUUGUAAAGCACUUUCAGCGAGGAAGAACGCCUAUCGGUUAAUACCCGGUAGGAAAGACAUCACUCGCAGAAGAAGCACCGGCUAACUCCGUGCCAGCAGCCGCGGUAAUACGGAGGGUGCAAGCGUUAAUCGGAAUUACUGGGCGUAAAGCGCGCGUAGGUGGCUUGAUAAGCCGGUUGUGAAAGCCCCGGGCUCAACCUGGGAACGGCAUCCGGAACUGUCAGGCUAGAGUGCAGGAGAGGAAGGUAGAAUUCCCGGUGUAGCGGUGAAAUGCGUAGAGAUCGGGAGGAAUACCAGUGGCGAAGGCGGCCUUCUGGACUGACACUGACACUGAGGUGCGAAAGCGUGGGUAGCAAACAGGAUUAGAUACCCUGGUAGUCCACGCCGUAAACGAUGUCGACCAGCCGUUGGGUGCCUAGAGCACUUUGUGGCGAAGUUAACGCGAUAAGUCGACCGCCUGGGGAGUACGGCCGCAAGGUUAAAACUCAAAUGAAUUGACGGGGGCCCGCACAAGCGGUGGAGCAUGUGGUUUAAUUCGAUGCAACGCGAAGAACCUUACCUACCCUUGACAUCUACAGAAGCCGGAAGAGAUUCUGGUGUGCCUUCGGGAACUG